GUUGGAGGCUAGUAGCCUAGUCAAUCUACGGUUUAGAUCGGACUAAUUGAAACACAAAGUUGUUCAACGUUUUUGUAUUUAUUAAGUCUCCUUUUAUAACAUACUAAAAGUCUGAAAAAAUCGGAGCACGCAAACACCCCGAAAAACCGCAACGAAUUUCCCCGUGUAUGAAAAAACACAGGGAUCCCAAAUAAUAAAAAUCACGAAAAAUAUACAUACAUUAAAAAAAUCAAAUUUAUGCCACUAUAAAUGAUAACAAUAUAUAUUUCUACUCGAUCUGGAUAAGAAACAACGUUAUGUGAUAUAGCUUAUCUAUUUUUGGCAAAAUCCACAGGUUUCUACUAGCUAUCUUUACGGGUAUUUAGAAAGAGAAUCAACCACAACAUGUUAUUAUUAUCAUUAAUUUGAGUUUGUUUGAUUUAAAUGGCGUCAAUCUCAAGUUUAUUGUUAUCUUUCCGCAACCCUGCUUUCAAUUAUAAUUAUUAAGUGUGGUUUUAAAUGCAGGACCACAGUGAUAUCAGAUGGAGUUAAAGGGGCUUAUCCUGUAAAAACAUUGGUAAAAAUAUUAAUUUUGUCACCAUUACGAUGCUUGUAGACAUUCAACCCUUUUAGACACUUCUGAAAGUUCUGUGGAAAGAUUGCCUUUUUUUCAAGACUCUACACUGUUUACGCCGACAGCGCAGUUAAUGUUGAUACCGCUAAAGUGACCGAGAAGGGAUCUUGAAAGCAGAUAACACAACCUCGCAAUCGACUGUUCCCAUUGACAAUGACGUCGUACAUGUUACAGCUGUCGUUUUAGCGCUCAAUUCUAGCUCAUCCCCAGAAGAAAUUGAACAACAUUUCUCCUUUGAGUCUGAAGUUUUCCUCGAGUAUUGCGAAACUCUUAUGAUGCAGAAGCCUGUUUUGGCCGAGGUCAUUUGGUCCACAUUGGAUUGAUACCAAAACACCAUCUACCGUGCUACAGUAUGUAUUGGAUGGAGAUUCUCUUCUAUACUGAAUACCCUAGCCCAAGGAAGUCGACACAUUAUUUUACGAAGGUUAAACCCCUGCUGUAAUUAUUUCAUGGUGUUUUGAUUGGUAACGCCGAUGGCUUCUUCACAGAGGUCAUGAAAAAAAGGAAAGGGGGCAUCAUUCAAGAAGCUUGUGUCCUCACCCUACAUCUGCGCACAGGCAGCUGUUAACAGAACAGAGCUAAGAGAACCACAAAAUCCUCAACUUCAGCAGCAGCAGCCAUGUUCCACAGUUCCAAGUUCCAGUAUUCUAAAAAGUCAACCAAUGGAAAGGCGAAAGAAAGGCGGUCUGAGAUCUGAGCCUAGAUGUUGGUCAACGACAGGGUGAACCCUUAACAGAUCUUGAGAGACCUCCAGGACUGCAGCACGUUUAGUGCUCCUGCCGCAUGGACAAUCUAGCGUGUUCGCCCUACGGCCAAUACAAAGGGUCAUCGUGUAAUAAUUCCCUUUCAAUUGAAGUCACGGAUUCCAUGGAUUUAAUCUGCACCCACGAGUAAGAACCUAGAGUUUAAGAACCUGUAACAGGGUCUUAAUCUUAAAGAAAUUAUAAAAAAUUUCAACAUUAAAGAAUCUAUUUUCACGAAAAAAUGA